CCUACGGGUGGCAGCAGUAGGGAAUAUUCCACAAUGGGCGAAAGCCUGAUGGAGCGACGCCGCGUGAGUGAAGAAGGGUUUCGGCUCGUAAAGCUCUGUUGGUAGUGAAGAAAGUUAGAGGUAGUAACUGCCCUUUAUUUGACGGUAAUUACUCAGAAAGUCACGGCUAACUACGUGCCAGCAGCCGCGGUAAUACAUAGGUGGCAAGCGUUGUCCGGAAUGAUUGGGCGUAAAGCGAGUGCAGGCGGUUCAGUAAGUCUGAUGUGAAAGCCCUGGGCCCAACCCGCGAAUUGCAUUAGAAACUGUUGAACUUGAGUGCAGAAGAGGUAAGUGGAACUCCAAGUGUAGCGGUGAAAUGCGUAGAUAUAUGGAAGAACACCAGUGGCGAAGGCGGCUCACUGGACUGCAACUGACGCUGAGGCUCGAAAGCGUGGGUAGCAAACAGGAUUAGAUACCCCAGUAGUC
rnacentral:rRNA from 1 species